UACGAGGGGAGCUAGCGUUGUUCAGAAUUACUGGGCGUAAAGGGCGCGUAGGCGGUACCGUAAGUCAGAUGUGAAAGCCCCAGGCUUAACCUGGGAGGUGCAUUUGAUACUGCGGAACUAGAGAUCGAGAGAGGAAAGUGGAAUUACGAGUGUAGAGGUGAAAUUCGUAGAUAUUCGUAAGAACACCAGUGGCGAAGGCGGCUUUCUGGCUCGAUACUGACGCUAAGGCGCGAAAGCGUGGGGAGCAAACAGG
rnacentral:rRNA from 1 species